UGAACCGUUCUCGACGGCGCUCACUCACCUUCGUGAUGGCGACUCAGUUUUGCCGGCUUUGGUGGUGGGUAGCGGUGAUGAUUUUUACUGGCUGCGUAAUACGUCCUUUCAAUCUCGUCAUCCUCAUGUGCAAAUAUGAGACGAAGGCUGACAUAAUGACAUUGAUGGUGACAAACCACUAGAAGCGGCGGAUUUCCUCAACUUGAGCUUUGGCCUAAUGUCGAUUCACACAUGUUUUAUGAAGUGCCCAGAUAUCCUACUUUGUUCAUCUUAGCUACUGUCAACUGUAGCUUUUGGGAACUCACAGUAGGAAGUGGAUGCCACAGUUGAGCAUGACGACAUGCGAACAUAUGGAAUGGGCAAUUAAUUUGUUCUCUGAGCUGGCAAAUGCCAUUCCAAGAAUUGAUGAAGCCAUGAGCUUUGCAGAGAUGUGCUAAGUAAUCUAGAGACGCUAAGCCAGGUGCUAUAUGGUUUGAUGGUUUUUCUUGCUGAGUCACAUGAAUUUCCAGCAAUAAGAAACUGAUGGAUAUUGCUUGCAAGCUUGCU